rnacentral:rRNA from 1 species
AGCGAACGUUAGCGGCGGGCCUAACACAUGCAAGUCGAACGCGAAAGGUCUUCGGACUGAGUAGAGUGGCGCACGGGUGAGUAACACGUAGGUAAUCUACCCUUUGGCGGGGGAUAACGUUCCGAAAGGAGCGCUAAUACCGCAUAAGACCACGGAGUCUCCGGACGCUGUGGGAAAAGGUGGCCUCUUCUUGAAAGCUACCACCGAAGGAUGAGCCUGCGUCCCAUCAGCUAGUUGGUAAGGUAAUGGCUUACCAAGGCGAAGACGGGUAGCUGGUUUGAGAGAAUGAUCAGCCACACUGGCACUGGAACACGGGCCAGACUCCUACGGGAGGCAGCAGUGAGGAAUAUUGGGCAAUGGGCGAAAGCCUGACCCAGCCACGCCGCGUGAGUGAAGAAGGCCUCGGUUGU